rnacentral:rRNA from 1 species
UACGAAGGGGGCUAGCGUUGCUCGGAAUUACUGGGCGUAAAGCGCACGUAGGCGGGUUCUUAAGUCGGUGGUGAAAUCCGUGGAGCUCAACUCCAGAACUGCCUUCGAAACUGGGAAUCUUGAGUCCGGGAGAGGUGAGUGGAACUGCGAGUGUAGAGGUGAAAUUCGUAGAUAUUAGGAAGAACACCAGUGGCGAAGGCGGCUCACUGGCCCGGUACUGACGCUGAGGCGCGAAAGCGUGGGGAGCAAAC